GCUUGCUCCAGGCGUCGAGCGGCGGACGGGUGAGUAAUGCAUAGGAAUCUGCCCGGUAGUGGGGGAUAACCUGGGGAAACCCAGGCUAAUACCGCAUACGUCCUACGGGAGAAAGCAGGGGAUCUUCGGACCUUGCGCUAUCGGAUGAGCCUAUGUCGGAUUAGCUUGUUGGUGAGGUAAUGGCUCACCAAGGCGACGAUCCGUAGCUGGUCUGAGAGGAUGAUCAGCCACAUCGGGACUGAGACACGGCCCGAACUCCUACGGGAGGCAGCAGUGGGGAAUAUUGGACAAUGGGCGAAAGCCUGAUCCAGCCAUGCCGCGUGUGUGAAGAAGGCUUUCGGGUUGUAAAGCACUUUCAGUGAGGAAGAAGGCCUUGGGGCUAAUACCCCCGAGGAAGGACAUCACUCACAGAAGAAGCACCGGCUAACUCCGUGCCAGCAGCCGCGGUAAUACGGAGGGUGCGAGCGUUAAUCGGAAUUACUGGGCGUAAAGCGCGCGUAGGCGGCGUGAUAAGCCGGUUG
rnacentral:rRNA from 2 species